rnacentral:rRNA from 2 species
UGGGGAAUAUUGGGCAAUGGGCGCAAGCCUGACCCAGCAACGCCGCGUGAAGGAAGAAGGCUUUCGGGUUGUAAACUUCUUUUACCAGGGACGAAGAAAGUGACGGUACCUGGAGAAUAAGCCACGGCUAACUACGUGCCAGCAGCCGCGGUAAUACGUAGGUGGCAAGCGUUGUCCGGAUUUACUGGGUGUAAAGGGCGCGUAGGCGGGAAAGCAAGUCAGGAGUGAAAUCUAUGGGCUCAACCCAUAAAUUGCUUUUGAAACUGUUUUUCUUGAGUGAUGGAGAGGCAAGCGGAAUUCCUAGUGUAGCGGUGAAAUGCGUAGAUAUUAGGAGGAACACCAGUGGCGAAGGCGGCUUGCUGGACAUUAACUGACGCUGAUGCGCGAAAGCGUGGGGAGCAAACAGG